UCCUCGUUAGUAUAGUGGACAGUAUCUCCGCCUGUCAUGAGGAAGACCGUGGUUCGAUUCCCCAACGGGGAG